CCAAAUCUCUGCCCAUACAAACGUUUGUACAACUCAGCCACCACAUGAGUACUCGGUUGAAAUCCCACUUAACUCUAUCUUACGUAUAAUUUCUCGGCCUAUACUCGAUACAUACUUCUUUAUCUCAUCAUUUAUAACUCCUCGUGAGUUAAUCUCGUACUAUAUCAUAGUACAUUCUCGUUAUAGUUCCAAACUAUAACCAUUCAAUCAUUACCGACCAUCUGUCUUUUACAACUUUAAAACGAAUCACAAUGUGAUCUUAUUCUAUAAUCAUCUCCCUUCUGAUUCUUUUCUUAUCUAAUUAUCGUUUUGUUUUAAAAACUUCUUAUCUUUACCUUUCAUCAUAUCAUACUAUGAUUUCAUUUAUGCUUUUGAUCUUAUAGACCUUGUCUAUUCAUCGUUAUUCGUCAUCUUGAUUAUUGGAGGUAGGAAACUCCUGAUUCUUAUCUACAUAUCUCUUCAAGAUUCUUCUUUGAAUCUUCUUGUUUAUUUAUUAACUCUUCCUUUAAGAAUUUAAUAUAAU
rnacentral:lncRNA from 1 species